ensembl:snoRNA
CCCCUUUUAAAAGCACUCAGUGGGCCUGUGGCUAGUGACCUAUUGAGCCGUCAAGAAAGGGGAGAAUGAAAAUACCGCUUUGGGGUGAAGUGGCAGGAUGUUGUGUUGUUAUGCCUCAACUGGUGGUGUGACAAGG